GGUGGAUGUAAAAAGCACACGAGAUGAUGAUGCUAAGGCUUCACAAACUAUGAUCUAGCGAGGAUACCAGAACCUCCUCUGAUUGAAAGCAUUGGUCCGUAGCUUGGACUGCGACUAAUCAGAUGUGAAUCGAGGAACAAAACUAUAACAGUGAUGUCGUCGUGAAAAUGCCUUCUUACCCCGCGGUCAAUCUUCUUCAAGUCUGUAUAUCUCAUUUCUCUUUUCUUUG
rnacentral:misc_RNA from 1 species